ACAUUUUUUAGAAAAAAGAAAAUUACCAGCAUUACGGGUUUCAUAAUAAUGUAUUUCAUAAUUGAAAGUAAAUUUACAUGACAUGGACCUUGGCAAUAAUCCCUUAGAACAUGUUUCGCCGAGCGAUGAUUUUUGCUUGGUUUAGAUUUUCCCUUUUUUUGCUCUUAAAAGCUACCAUAGGUUAAGUUCGGCACUGUCGCCAUGUUCUUCAGUCAACGCAGUGCACAGUCGGAAAUGUAGUCCAGUUUGACUCAUUUACCAGUUAAUCCGUCAGUUGCCAUUCAAGUAUUCCCGACGAAGUUUUGUCCCGCCACAGAAAUCGAAUAAAUAAGCUUCACAGCUUAAUAUCUCCAUUUACGGCUGGACUCCCAAACUUCAUUUUUCCCUUUCCUCAACUAUU